rnacentral:rRNA from 1 species
UACGAAGGGGGCUAGCGUUGCUCGGAAUCACUGGGCGUAAAGGGUGCGUAGGCGGGUCUUUAAGUCAGGGGUGAAAUCCUGGAGCUCAACUCCAGAACUGCCUUUGAUACUGAAGAUCUUGAGUUCGGGAGAGGUGAGUGGAACUGCGAGUGUAGAGGUGAAAUGCGUAGAUAUCUGGAGGAACACCGGUGGCGAAGGCGGCAUCCUGGACCGAUACUGACGCUGAGGAGCGAAAGCCAGGGGAGCAAACGGG